rfam:Camelus ferus unplaced genomic scaffold scaffold155, whole genome shotgun sequence.
GUGGGUGUAGCUCAGUGGUAGAGUGCCUGCUUAGCAUGGACAAGGUCCUGGGUUCAAUCCCCAGUACCUCCA